rnacentral:rRNA from 1 species
GUACGCUGGCGGCACGCCUAACACAUGCAAGUCGAACGAAGUAGCAAUACUUAGUGGCAGACGGGUGAGUAACAUGUAGGUAUCUGCCCUUUGGCCUGGAAUAACACGAGGAAACUUGUGCUAAUACCGGAUAAGUCUUUACGGAGAAAGCUUUAUGCACCAUUGGAUGAGCCUGCACUUGAUUAGUUUGUUGGUAGGGUAAUGGCCUACCAAGACUUUGAUCAAUAGCUGAUUUGAGAGGAUGAUCAGCCACAUUGGGACUGAGACACGGCCCAAACUCCUACGGGAGGCAGCAGUGGGGAAUCUUGCACAAUGGAGGAAACUCUGAUGCAGCGAUGCCGCGUGAGUGAAGAAGGCCCUUGGGUUGUAAAGCUCUUUCGUCGGGGAAGAAAAUGACUGUACCCGAAUAAGAAGGUCCGGCUAACUUCGUGCCAGCAGCCGCGGUAAUACGAAGGGACCUAGCGUAGUUCGGAAUUACUGGGCUUAAAGAGUUCGUAGGUGGUUGAAAAAGUUGGUGGUGAAAUCCCAGAGCUUAACUCUGGAACUGCCAUCAAAACUUUUCAGCUAGAGUAUGAUAGAGGAAAGCAGAAUUUCUAGUGUAGAGGUGAAAUUCGUAGAUAUUAGAAAGAAUACCAAUUGCGAAGGCAGCUUUCUGGAUCAUUACUGACACUGAGGAACGAAAGCAUGGGUAGCGAAGAGGAUUAGAUACCCUCGUAGUCCAUGCCGUAAACGAUGUGUGUUAGACGUUGGAAAUUUAUUUUCAGUGUCGCAGCGAAAGCGAUAAACACACCGCCUGGGGAGUACGACCGCAAGGUUAAAACUCAAAUGAAUUGACGGGGACCCGCACAAGUAGUGGAGCAUGUGGUUUAAUUCGAAGAUACGCGCAGAACCUUACCAACACUUGACAUGUUCGUCGCGACUCUAAGAGAUUAGAGUUUUCGGUUCGGCCGGACGAAACACAGGUGCUGCAUGGCUGUCGUCAGCUCGUGUCGUGAGAUGUUGGGUUAAGUCCCGCAACGAGCGCAACCCUCACUUUUAGUUGCCAUCAUUAAGUUGGGCACUCUGAAAGAACUGCCAGUGAUAAGCUGGAGGAAGGUGGGGAUGACGUCAAGUCCUCAUGGCCCUUACGUGUUGGGCUACACACGUGCUACAAUGGUAUCUACAACAGGAAGCAAGACUGCGAAGUUAAGCAAAUCCCUAAAAGAUACCUCAGUUCGGAUUGCACUCUGCAACUCGAGUGCAUGAAGCUGGAAUUACUAGUAAUCGUGGAUCAGCGUGCCACGGUGAAUGCGUUCCCGGGUCUUGUACACACCGCCCGUCACACCAUGGGAGUUGGUUCUACCUUAAGGCAAGGUUUCAAACCCUUGACCACGGU